UCAUUAAUCAUACUUAAAUAAUAGAAAGGUAUUGAUCAAACGACAUACCAUUUAGUUACCUUCCAUCAUAACAGAUGGCGUUUUAAAACGUUCGUUGAACCAUCGCAGCAGUCGCUAUAUUGAGUCUUUGGAGGUGUAACGUGUUUCUUGAGAAAAAUUGUUUGUUUCUUCGAUCUCGAUUGGAUUUCUUGUUUUAUAUAUAUAUGUACUGUAAAAAUGGCUUGGUGUUCAGCGGUGAAUUGUAACAAUUCGUCAGACAAAGGUGUAAGAUUAUUUCGUUUUCCCGCUGAUGAAUCCAGGAGAGCUAAAUGGUAUCAAUAUUGCAGAAGAGAAAAAUGGAAACCAACAGCGAAUUCCAGGCUAUGUGAGAUACAUUUUGAGGAGUCACAAUUCGAACUUAAAAGAAUGGAUGGAAGAAAAUUAUUGAAAUGGAAUGCUGUUCCGACCCUUUUUGAUGCUCCAAAUCCCUAAUCCCAUCUGCAGUUAAGAAGAAUAGCACCAAGAAAAAGAGAACCACCUCCAAAUGAGUGCACCUUUGCUUCAUCGUCUGUGGAUUGUGAUGAAGCAGAAGAGUCUGUAACUGUAGAUACAAAUGAUCAUCGUAAUGAAAAAACUGUAAAUACAAAUGAUGAUCAUAAUGAAAAACUUGCUGCAGAAAAUAGAAAGUUGAAAAGAGAGAUAAGAAGACUAAUGGAGAAGCAAGAGGCAAUGGAGAGAAACCUUAGCAGACUUUUGAAGCCUGACCAAAUGCAGUAUCUGCAGAGAGUGACCAAGAGUAAUCCCUAUCCAUGGACUAUCGAGACCGUCAGGCAUGCGUUACAUUUAAAAUGUGUUGUGGGUAAGAGAGGUUAUGAAUACCUCAGACAAAAUGAGUAUCCUUUGCCUUCAUUGAGGACAAUUAGGAGAAGAAUUGAAUCUUAAAGAUUUGCUUCUGCAUUCAAUAUGAUAUAAUUGAAUGGAUGGGUAUAAAAUUCAGUCUGCAGAUUUCACUAGUAAAUUGUGUGUCCUUUCAUUGAAUGGAAUGCAGAUCAGACUUCACUUUGAAUAUGACAAAGGUUGGAGAGAUAUGUUGGAUUAAUGAGCAAAGGAUUCAAAAAUAAUUUGGUGAAAGUAAUCUUGCCACCCAUGCUUUGGGUUUUGUUGUGUGGUGACUUCACUCGAAGCAGGUGGUGGCCUACACACAUUCAAGAUCCACAUUUACUGUGGUGUUUUGUGAAGAGUUUUCAUGAUUAUGGCCUUGUUGCAAAGUGUUUCAAGUAAUACGGGCUCUAACAACACCAGUAUGUGGGAUGCUGUUGGUGUGCAUUCAACACGCAAUCAGGUGAACUGUAAAAUUUUGCAUCCUAGUAUGCAAAGUGAAAAAAAUAUAUUUUGUCAUAGAUGUUUGUCACUUACUAAAAAUAUUAGAAACUGCUUGCUGUCACAAGAUAUUAAUCUUUCAGAGGAAACUAAGAGAAGCCCACCAGUGGCCAACUGGUCUUUGUACCCUGAACACUUGGGAGUUCAGUUGUGGUUUGCACCUCGCUUGGACGGGCUGGCCAUGUGAAGUUUUCCGGGUUUUCUCCACGUCUGUAACACUUAAAUAGGAGCCAGUUUUCCUUAAAAAGACCCCAGAAGGCAUCCUCCCUAGGCAGAUCACCCAAGUGUUGCAUUGCCAUAAUCUAACAAACAAACAUGGGUUAAAUGGGAUAAAAUGGGCUACUUUCAAACACAGUUUUUCUGAACUGUGUAGCGAGUGUGAAUGAGCAGCAAGAAAAAGAGGGACCAAUGAUAGCUCCCUCCCUAUCAGUGACAGUAGUAAACCCAAAUUUCUUUGAGAAAAUGCAAGUUCCAGUGGCUAAAAGUUUAUUUAAUCAUAACAUUUCUUCUGCCUUAAAAUUUUGUGUGCAUCAUCUGGAAUUAUUCCCAGAGAUGUAUUAACCACAAGCUGGUUUAUAGAUCAAAUCAACCAGUGGUAUGACAUUAUGUUGGUGCAAAAUGCAUUUGCGAUAUAAGUCAACCAGAGAAAAUAGCUCAUUUGAAGUAUGUGUUACAUUGGGUUUCCUCUAAGUUUUAAUGGAAAAAAUAAUUGGAAGUCAAUACAAACAGGAGUGCAACCUAUUUUAAAUUAUAUUUUUAGUUAUUAUAUUUGGUAAAUUUUAAAUUUGUGAGUAAAACUUCCAUUAACAAUAAUGUUUGUCUUAAAUUGAUGAUAACAUUACUGAAAAUUGAUGGAAACACUGAUGAUGAAUUUGUUUCUCUGUAAAAUCUAGCCAUGUACUAUAAUGUCUAAAAUCUUUAGUAAAAAAGAUGAAAAACUAUAUCUGGUAAAUAGAAUAUAUUUUUGUACUUUAAUCUGUUAAUUUUCACUAAAGAAAUUUCAGAUUUUGAAUUUCUAAAUAAAAUUUAUCCUUGUACUGCAACGGUUAUCAUUCACUUUUUCAGUUUAGAAAUAGAAUGAAGUAUUUUUGUAAGUUUUAACCAAAGAAGUAUGAGUUAUGGUUUAAUUAAUUAAUUUUAUUUAUUUAAGCAUACUGGUACAAUGAUGCAGGGAGAAACAUACAAAAAUCAUACAAGAUUACACAACAUAUCCAGUAAUACAAAACAAAU